GACGAACGCUGGCGGCGUGCUUAACACAUGCAAGUCGAACGGGCCUUGUCCCCUUUUUUUUGGGGGUGGGGUUAGUGGCGAACGGGUGAGUAACACGUGAGUAACCUGCCCCUCACUUCUGGAUAACCGCUUGAAAGGGUGGCUAAUACGGGGUGUUCUGGCCUGCUCGCAUGGGUGGGUUUGGAAAGAUUCGACCGGUUUGGUUGUUUUGGUGGGGGAUGGGCUCGCGGCCUAUCAGCUUGUUGGUGGGGUGAUGGCCUGCCAAGGCUUUGACGGGUAGCCGGCCUGAGAGGGUGGGCGGUCACACUGGGACUGAGACACGGCCCAGACUCCUACGGGAGGCAGCAGUGGGGAAUAUUGCACAAUGGGCGCAAGCCUGAUGCAGCGACGCCGCGUGAGGGAUGGAGGCCUUCGGGUUGUGAACCUCUUUCGCCAGUGAAGAAGGUCCUGCUCUUUGUGGUGGGGUUGACGGUAGCUGGGUUAAUGAAGCGCCGGCUAACUACGUG
rnacentral:rRNA from 1 species